UUGACGGGCCCCGCACAAGCAGCGGAGCGUGUGGUUUAAUUCGAUGCUACACGAAGAACCUUACCAGGGUUUGACAUACAAGUAGUAGGGAAAGGAAACUGGACCGACCCUUCGGGGAGCUUGAACAGGUGCUGCAUGGCUGUCGUCAGCUCGUGUCGUGAGAUGUUCGGUUAAGUCCGCUAACGAGCGCAACCCUCGCUGUGUGUUACAAGUGUCACACGGAACUGCCGGUCAUAAACCGGAGGAAGGUGGGGAUGACGUCAAGUCAGCAUGGCCUUUAUAUCCUGGGCUACACACACGCUACAAUGGGAAGGGACAAUAGGUUGCGAAACCGCGAGGUGGAGCCAAUCCAGCAAAACUUCCCUCAGUUCAGAUUGCAGGCUGCAACUCGCCUGCAUGAAGUUGGAGUUGCUAGUAAACGCAGGUCAGCCAUACUGCGUUGAAUACGUUCCCGGGGCUU
rnacentral:rRNA from 1 species